GUCUCUCCACGGUGGGAGCCCCACACACUCCGCCACCACCCCACACUCUCCACCCGCUCCUUGUGCACACCCUGCCCCACUCAAGUCGGCUCAGUUGCCAGGCUGCAGAGAAUCCAGUCACCAAUCUAUGCAGGCCCACACGUUGCCUGAGGGCUUGUUGUUUGGUGGGGCCAGUCUCUAGGGUGGGUUGCCUGCCCUGGCUGAGCUGGAUUAAAUCGGUGCUCUAGCGGGUGGAGCAGACCCUGGGCUAGCAGGCCUCAGGGAGAACUCCAAUGGCAUCUGUGUCAGCACGCCCACACCGGGCCACAACAAUGGCCGCCGCCAAUGUCCCAGUCCCUGGAGAGGUCUCACCCCUCACCGAGAUGCACUCAGGGCCUAUUAGCCAACCGGAAUGAGCAGCUGCAUCUACCCUGCCUCACAGACAGAUUGCUUCCUACAAACAUGGCAUGUUCCCUGAUGAUCGUUGUUGCUGAGGGCAUCUUGCAAUCACGAAGAACCACAAGGGCCAGUCCAGCCACAACAUUGGCUGCGAAAGGAGAAAUGUCUUUGGGGGCUUCCCUUGG